GCCGACGUGGUGGAACUGGCAGACACGCACGACUCAAAAUCGUGUGCCGCAAGGCAUGUGGGUUCGAUUCCCACCGUCGGCA
rnacentral:tRNA from 1 species